rnacentral:rRNA from 1 species
GUCGAGCGGAUGAAGGGAGCUUGCUCCUGGAUUCAGCGGCGGACGGGUGAGUAAUGCCUAGGAAUCUGCCUGGUAGUGGGGGAUAACGUCCGGAAACGGGCGCUAAUACCGCAUACGUCCUGAGGGAGAAAGUGGGGGAUCUUCGGACCUCACGCUAUCAGAUGAGCCUAGGUCGGAUUAGCUAGUUGGUGGGGUAAAGGCCUACCAAGGCGACGAUCCGUAACUGGUCUGAGAGGAUGACCAGUCACACUGGAACUGAGACACGGUCCAGACUCCUACGGGAGGCAGCAGUGGGGAAUAUUGGACAAUGGGCGAAAGCCUGAUCCAGCCAUGCCGCGUGUGUGAAGAAGGUCUUCGGAUUGUAAAGCACUUUAAGUUGGGAGGAAGGGCAGUAAGUUAAUACCUUGCUGUUUUGACGUUACCAACAGAAUAAGCACCGGCUAACUUCGUGCCAGCAGCCGCGGUAAUACGAAGGGUGCAAGCGUUAAUCGGAAUUACUGGGCGUAAAGCGCGCGUAGGUGGUUCAGCAAGUUGGAUGUGAAAUCCCCGGGCUCAACCUGGGAACUGCAUCCAAAACUACUGAGCUAGAGUACGGUAGAGGGUGGUGGAAUUUCCUGUGUAGCGGUGAAAUGCGUAGAUAUAGGAAGGAACACCAGUGGCGAA